ACCUGGCUGGCUCAGUCAGUGGAGCAUGUGGCUCUUGAUCUUGGGGUUGUGGGUUCAAGCCCCACACUGGGUG
rnacentral:tRNA from 1 species